rnacentral:lncRNA from 1 species
UGACCCUUGAUGAGCCAAUCAGAUUCCCUCCUAUUGGAAUUGGAGCUAGGAGACACAGAAUCUCCAUUGAUGAGCCUGCAGCUGACUGCCUGGAACUUGGGACCCAUCUCUAACAACGUGCAAGCUGGAAUGUUGACAGUUGGAACCCCAUCUUCAGAGAAAGGCUGGAGAAGAGAACAGAUCAGCAGAGAACCAUACAGCCCAGGGACAGAGAAAAAGAAAGAGGGUGGCCCAACGACUUUUUAAUUCCCAUGAGACUCAACUCACUCUCCUGCUUGUGUUUUCCACGACACUCCCCUGUAACCUACUAAGAAACACCUUUUCUUAGAUUCUUUGAGUAGGUUACUGUUUUUUGUGAAAUAAAUAAGUCCUGGCUGAAACAGAGAAAACAACUUAUUGAAUCAUUACAAGACUAAUAAUAUCAUAUCAUAAUAUAAAAAUAUGAUCAUGAAGCAAAUUGGAGAUAAAAGUAACUUUUUGGAAUGUAGUGUAGACUAAGUGAGACUAUCCAUGAAAUGCAUAGUUCCUGGCACAUAUUAGGUGCACCAAAAAAAAGAUGCUGUGAUGAUCACUGACGACCCUCCUGCAUUGUUCCUCCCACAGCCUCCACACUCACAGGCUUGCGUGAGUUUGUGACUUCACAGAGGAUGUGACAGAGGGAGAAAGGGUUUACCUUGCCUGGCACACAACUGCUAGCUUCAAAUCCCUGUUACACAUUCUCUUCUACAAAGACCCUUUCUGGUCAUGGCCCCACAAAGUGUUUUUCUCUUUGCCUUCUCCUAAGAAGACCUUAGACUCAUGACCUUUGCUCUCCCUCUGGGAUUCCCGGCUCCACUCCAAACUUGCACACCCAAACCUGUGCGGGUGCUCAGCAGGACAAAGGCCCUCCACCGUGACGGUCAGUUGUACAGCACAGCUGGCUGCCUCUUACACGGACCAUGGCUACUGGUGCUGAGCAGGCACUGUGCUGGCUCUAGUGACCCGGGGCGUUUGCCAGUAGGCAGAGCUAGAUACAUCAGCAACCACCAAGGACGAGGGUGGCAUUCGAUGUCUUCCUGGCGGAUGCUGUGUGACGCUGAUGGGCCUGCCCUAACCCCCUCCUCCCCCAACACUGCCCUCUCUCUCACCUCCGUGGCAUGUCUUAAGAACUCCUGAAGAUGUCACAUAAGGUGAAGAAUCUGCAGGAGUGGGGAAUGGAGAAGCGAAGAGAAAUCCUUCUAUGUACCAGAUGUGUCCUGACAUGUCAUGUGUCUGAUUCUCCACAAAGCUCCAAGGCAAAUUAAAUGUGCCUGACGAACAAGAAGUGGGCGUGGCUGUGAGUGCUGCGGCUAGAGGGCGCUGUCAGCCCGCAUCACAAUUAAACUGAAAUGGUCCCCAAACGAAAAUGUCUGACUCUUGGCCAGACGUGUUGGUUAACUUGAUUCCAUGCCCGUCGUCUACAGUUGUACAGUGCAGACAUCCAAACAGUUAUUCUAUUGGCCCCAGGAACAGUGAUGCACUUAAGCUUUUAAUUUGCUUGAUAGCAUUGCAGCCUUUCUA